CAUUUAAGAAAAUACACUCCUAUCAUCCUCGACUCACAAACCAUUUCAUCGCGUCCCGAUUUCAGGACCGAAAAUGCCGAGUGCUACUCCGCCGCCAUUGAUUUGCUCGAUCUGCAACGGAGAGACAUUCACGAGUCAAGCUCAGCUUCGCAUUCACCUGUACCAAGCUCACGGAAAAUUGAAUUGCCCGAAAUGCUUGAACUACUGCGAUACAAUCGCUGCGCUCGCGAGCCACUUGGCCGUAGAACAUUUGGCGGUUGAUAGCGACUCUUACGACUCACAAAGCGACUCUAGUGAUGUCCUCAGUACCACUACGGAGGAGGUCUCCGGAGAAGACUCUGGAGUGGAUGACACCUCUCUAGAUUCCUCUCUUGAGUCCAACCAAUAAAUUUGCGAGUUGCUUUAAGUCUGUUACCAGGUAUCAUGUCGUUUAAUAAACGGAUUUAAUUUCAA